rnacentral:rRNA from 1 species
UGCCAGCCGCCGCGGUAAUACGGAGGGUGCAAGCGUUGUUCGGAUUCACUGGGUAUAAAGGGUGCGCAGGCGGCCUGCUAAGUCAGGGGUGAAAUAUGACGGCUCAACCGUCAAACUGCCCCUGAAACUGACAGGCUUGAGUCCGGGAGAGGUUGGUGGAAUUCCAGGUGUAGCGGUGAAAUGCGUAAAUAUCUGGAGGAACACCGGUGGCGAAGGCGGCCAACUGGCCCGGUACUGACGCUCAGGCACGAAAGCAUGGGGAGCGAACGGGAUUAGAUA